rnacentral:rRNA from 1 species
UUUGAAAGCUAGCGUCUAUUUAAGGCGUUCGCAUUGUAAUUUGAAGAUUGGUAACUUGAGUUAGUUAAGGCGAAUGAAGUCCCUUGGAACAGGGCACCAUUGAGGGUGAGAGUCCCGUAAUUUACCUUAAUUAGUUUUUGUAAGUUCCUUUCGAAGAGUCGAGUUGUUUGGGAAUGCAGCUCUAAGUGGGAGGUAAAUUCCUUCUAAGGCUAAAUAUUGGGGAGAGACCGAUAGCGAACAAGUACCGUAAGGGAAAGUUGAAAAGCACUUUGAAAAGAGAGUGAAAAAGUACGUGAAAUUGCCGAAAGGGAAGGGUAUCUGAUCAGUGAUAGCGUUACUACUUGUAGUUUCGUUGUGCCAGGGUCAGUUCUGUUGGCAGGAGAAAUGCCUGGGAAAGUGGCUUUGCUCACCUGAGUAAAGUGUUAUAGCCCAUGGUUUACGCUUGCCUGAUGGGACUGAGGACUGCGGGUUCGCCCAAGGACCUUGGCUUUAAUGAUCACAUACCGCCCGUCUUGAAACACGGACCAAGGAGUCUAUCUUCUAUGCGAGUCUUUGGGUGUAAAACCCCAUGGCGAAAUGAAAGUGAAAUAGGUUGGAUCCUCUUCGGAGGCGCACAAUCGACCGAUCCUGAAGUUUACGGACGGAUUUGAGUAGGAGCAUAGAUGAUGGGACCCGAAAGAUGGUGAACUUUGCCUGAGGAGGGUGAAGCCAGAGGAAACUCUGGUGGAAGCUCGUAGCGAUUCUGACGUGCAAAUCGAUCGUCGCACUCGGGGAAAGGGGCGAAAGACUAAUCGAACCAUCU